rnacentral:lncRNA from 1 species
CUGGGGGCUUCAGUAUUGCAGUCAAGUGAUGGGGCAAAGCUAGGCAUGCCUGAGAUUCGCAUCCACUUAUGCCAGUGCUCACCCGGCACUGGUGUCAGGUGAGGCUGGCAGGCUUAGGGACACUGGGGUCACGGCCUCAACCUCCCAGGUGUCUGGGGAAACCCUCACCCACAGCACACUCUCGGCCUCACUCUCUCCAGCUCAUGGGGACUUCAUAGAGAAACAGGAUGUGAAGCUAAAAAGACAAACCCCGACCUGCCCAUCCUAACCUGUGUGUGCCCCAUCGUGCAGCCUGAGCUCUGGAACCACCACACAUAGGGCAAAGAGAAGAACAUGUCUUUGCACAGCUUCAGUCCUGAUCGGGCAACUAGAUCCCCGGAGAAUAUACUGAGUGGCAAAGCCUGA